UACGUAUGGUGCAAGCGUUAUCCGGAUUUACUGGGUGUAAAGGGAGCGCAGGCAGCGCGUUAAGCCUGGUGUGAAAGCCCGCGGCCCAACCGCGGGACUGCAUUGGGAACUGGCGCGCUGGAGUGCCGGAGGGGUAGGCGGAAUUCCUAGUGUAGCGGUGAAAUGCGUAGAUAUUAGGAGGAACACCAGUGGCGAAGGCGGCCUACUGGACGGUGACUGACGCUGAGGCUCGAAAGCGUGGGGAGCAAACAGG
rnacentral:rRNA from 1 species